AAGUCGUAACAAAGUUUCCGUAGGUGAACCUGCGGAAGGAUCAUUAACACGUAUCCAACGUUAAACCCCCUGUGAAUUUUAAGUCCUGCUCCGGAAUCUUUUCAAAACAGCAAUCUCAGUAAAUCAAUGUUGAACAGUUUUGAUUUGAGACCUCUGUUUGGAGAGUGAACGUUGAGACGGUUGAGAUAGGGGCAUGGCUUCCCGAAUCAAUCAUCAAAUGAAAGCGUUGAUGAUUGUGUAAGGAUAACGCUUCUCGGUCGCUGGAGGCCCACACGGUCGGCGGACAUGCCUCAUGGGCGCAAGCCCCUUUUUAACCCCACUAAACUUCUCCUUCCUUGUGGCGAAAGCCGCAGGUGCAAAAAACGAACAACUGUUAACAAUGGAUAUCUUGGUUCUC
rnacentral:misc_RNA from 1 species